GCCAGUGUAGCUCAGUGGUAGAGCUGCUGCCUAGAAUGUGCAACCCUCUGGGUUCAAUUCCCAGUACUGCG
rnacentral:tRNA from 1 species